UCUUCAUCCGUGAGUUGUUGUGUCGGAGAAUGUUGUCCUUGUAGGUCCUGCCUUUUUGAGCUAUUUAGUUGUAUGAGGUAUAUACACUGGUUUACUUGUAGUAUGUUGGUAGGUUAUGGUAUUAUGGAUAAUGUCUUGAUAGUUAUUCUUGCAUGCGCAUAACCUAUCACUAGUAUGCAACAAUAUCAAUAAGCCUUAUAGGGGGUUGCAUUGUAUUGGUGAUGAGUAUGACUUUUGUUGUGUUGUAUGUUGAUUGAACCUUCUUAGCCUAGGGAAGUGGGG
rnacentral:lncRNA from 1 species